rnacentral:rRNA from 1 species
UAGGGAAUUCGGCAAUGGGGGGAACCCUGACCGAGCAACGCCGCGUGAGUGAAGAAGGUUUUCGGAUCGUAAAGCUCUGUUGUUAAGGAAGAACGAGUGUGAGAAUGGAAAGUUCAUACUGUGACGGUACUUAACCAGAAAGGGACGGCUAACUACGUGCCAGCAGCCGCGGUAAUACGUAGGUCCCGAGCGUUGUCCGGAUUUAUUGGGCGUAAAGCGAGCGCAGGCGGUUAGAUAAGUCUGAAGUUAAAGGCAGUGGCUCAACCAUUGUAGGCUUUGGAAACUGUUUAACUUGAGUGCAGAAGGGGAGAGUGGAAUUCCAUGUGUAGCGGUGAAAUGCGUAGAUAUAUGGAGGAACACCGGUGGCGAAAGCGGCUCUCUGGUCUGUAACUGACGCUGAGGCUCGAAAGCGUGGGGAGCGAACAGGAUUAGAUACCCUGGUAGUCCACGCCGUAAACGAUGAGUGCUAGGUGUUAGGUCCUUUCCGGGACUUAGUGCCGCAGCUAACGCAUUAAGCACUCCGCCUGGGGAGUACGACCGCAAGGUUG